GGGGGAGGCGAGAGCACCCUUUGAUCCCGUGAUUUCCGAAUGGGGAAACCCACCUUAGAUACUUGGAAAUUCAAACAAGCCGUACGGCUUGACCAUUCAUGCCCUCGGGCCUGUUUGGUUUCCAAGUAUCGAGACAAGGUAUCUUAUCCUGAAUACAUAGGGAUAAGAAGGGAACGCGGGGAACUGAAACAUCUAAGUACCCGUAGGAAAGGACAUCAACCGAGACUCCGUCAGUAGCGGCGAGCGAACGCGGACCAGGCCAGUGGCAUGGUUAAGUAAAGUGGAACGAUCUGGAAAGUUCGGCCGUAGCGGGUGAUAGCCCCGUACACGUAAUCCUUAAUCUUGUCCUUGAGUAAGGCGGGACACGUGAAAUCCUGUCUGAACAUGGGGGGACCACCCUCCAAGCCUAAGUACUCGUGCAUCACCGAUAGCGAACCAGUACCGUGAGGGAAAGGUGAAAAGAACCCCGAUAAGGGGAGUGAAAUAGUUCCUGAAACCGGAUGCCUACAAGCAGUUGGAGCCUCUUUAUGGGGUGACAGCGUACCUCUUGCAUAAUGGGUCAGCGAGUUAGUCUUACAAGCAAGCUUAAGCCGAUAGGUGUAGGCGCAGCGAAAGCAAGUCUUAA
rnacentral:rRNA from 1 species